GACGAACGCUGGCGGCGUGCCUAAUACAUGCAAGUCGAGCGAAGUUUUUCUGGUGCUUGCACUAGAAAAACUUAGCGGCGAACGGGUGAGUACACGUAAAGAACCUGCCUCAUAGACUGGGACAACUAUUGGAAACGAUAGCUAAUACCGGAUAACAGCAUUAACUGCAUGGUUGAUGUUUAAAAGUUGGUUUUGCUAACACUAUGAGAUGGCUUUGCGGUGCAUUAGCUAGUUGGUGGGGUAAAGGCCUACCAAGGCGACGAUGCAUAGCCGACCUGAGAGGGUGAUCGGCCACACUGGGACUGAGACACGGCCCAGACUCCUACGGGAGGCAGCAGUAGGGAAUCUUCCGCAAUGGGCGAAAGCCUGACGGAGCAACGCCGCGUGAGUGAAGAAGGAUUUCGGUUCGUAAAGCUCUGUUGUUAGGGAAGAAUGAUUGUGUAGUAACUAUACACAGUAGAGACGGUACCUAACCAGAAAGCCACGGCUAACUACGUG
rnacentral:rRNA from 1 species